CCUACGGGUGGCAGCAGUGGGGGAUAUUGCACAAUGGGGGGAACCCUGAUGCAGCGACGCCGCGUGAGGGAAGACGGCCCUACGGGUUGUAAACCUCUUUUGCCGGGGAGCAACGGGCGCCACGUGUGGCGCCACUGAGAGUACCCGGAGAAAAAGCAUCGGCUAACUCCGUGCCAGCAGCCGCGGUAAUACGGAGGAUGCGAGCGUUAUCCGGAUUUAUUGGGUUUAAAGGGUGCGUAGGCGGAGCGUUAAGUCAGUGGUCAAAUUGAGGGGCUCAACCCCUUCCCGCAAUUGAUACUGGCAGCCUUGAGUACAGUUGAGGUAGGCGGAAUUCGUGGUGUAGCGGUGAAAUGCUUAGAUAUCACGAAGAACUCCGAUUGCGAAGGCAGCUUACUAAACUGCCACUGACAUUGAUGCUCGAAAGUGUGGGUAUCAAACAGGAUUAGAUACCCUUGUAGUC
rnacentral:rRNA from 1 species